rnacentral:rRNA from 1 species
GUUUGGUAUCGUCAAUGAAAUACCACUACUCUUAUUGUUUCCUUACUUACUUGAUUAAAUGGAACGUGUAUCAUUUCCUAGCCAUUAUACGGAUAUAUUUAUUAUAUCUUAUGGUAUUGGGUUUUGAUGCAAGCUUCUUGAUCAAAGUAUCACGAGUUUGUUAUAUAAUCGCAAACAAAUUCUUUAAUAAAACGGUGCAUUUAUGUAUUUUUGAUUUGAAAAUUUGGUAUAACUCCAAUUACUCAGGUAUGAUCCAAUUCAAGGACAUUGCCAGGUAGGGAGUUUGACUGGGGCGGUACAUCUCUCAAAUAAUAACGGAGGUGUCCCAAGGCCAGCUCAGUGCGGACAGAAACCACACAUAGAGCAAAAGGGCAAAUGCUGACUUGAUCUCGGUGUUCAGUACACACAGGGACAGCAAAAGCUCGGCCUAUCGAUCCUUUUGGUUUAAAGAGUUUUUAACAAGAGGUGUCAGAAAAGUUACCAUAGGGAUAACUGGCUUGCGGCGGCCAAGCGUUCAUAGCGACGUCGCUUUUUGAUCCUUCGAUCUCGGCUCUU